GACGAACGCUGGCGGCGCGCCUAACACAUGCAAGUCGAACGGAGCUGAGAGAAGCUUGCUUUUCUUAGCUUAGUGGCGAACGGGUGAGUAACGCGUGAGUAACCUGCCCUGGAGUGGGGGACAACAGUUGGAAACGACUGCUAAUACCGCAUAAGCCCACGAUCCGGCAUCGGAUUGAGGGAAAAGGAUUUAUUCGCUUCAGGAUGGACUCGCGUCCAAUUAGCUAGUUGGUGAGGUAACGGCCCACCAAGGCGACGAUGGGUAGCCGGACUGAGAGGUUGAGCGGCCACAUUGAGACUGAGACACGGCCCAGACUCCUACGGGAGGCAGCAGUGGGGGAUAUUGCACAAUGGGGGGAACCCUGAUGCAGCGACGCCGCGAGGAGGAAGAAGGUUUUCGGAUUGUAAACUCCUGUCGUUAGGGACGAUAAUGACGGUACCUAACAAGAAAGCACCGGCUAACUACGUG
rnacentral:rRNA from 1 species